rnacentral:snRNA from 1 species
GUGCUUGCUUCAGAAACACACAUACUAAAAUUGGAACGAUACAGAGAAGAUUAGCAUGGCCCCUGUGCAAGGAUGACAUGCAAAUUCAUGAAGCAUUCCAUAUUUUA